AACGAACGCUGGCGGCAGGCUUAACACAUGCAAGUCGAGCGCCCCGCAAGGGGAGCGGCAGACGGGUGAGUAACGCGUGGGAAUCUACCCAUCUCUAGGGGAUAACACAGAGAAAUUUGUGCUAAUACCCUAUACGUCCUCCGGGAGAAGGAUUUAUCGGGGAUGGAUGAGCCCGCGUUGGAUUAGCUAGUUGGUGGGGUAAUGGCCCACCAAGGCGACGAUCCAUAGCUGGUCUGAGAGGAUGACCAGCCACACUGGGACUGAGACACGGCCCAGACUCCUACGGGAGGCAGCAGUGGGGAGUAUUGGACAAUGGGCGCAAGCCUGAUCCAGCCAUGCCGCGUGAGUGAUGACGGCCUUAGGGUUGUAAAGCUCUUUCACCCACGACGAUAAUGACGGUAGUGGGAGAAGAAGCCCCGGCUAACUUCGUGCCAGCCGCCGCCGUAAUAC
rnacentral:rRNA from 1 species